rnacentral:misc_RNA from 1 species
GAUGAAGAACGUAGCGAAAUGCGAUAAGUAAUGCGAAUUGCAGAAUUCCGUGAGUCAUCGAAUCUUUGAACGCACAUUGCGCCCUCUGGUAUUCCAUGGGGCAUGCCUGUUCGAGCGUCAUUUGUACCUUCAAGCUUUGCUUGGUGUUGGGUGUUUGUCUCGCCUUUGCGUGUAGACUCGCCUUAAAAUAAUUGGCAGCCGGCGUAUUGAUUUCGGAGCGCAGUACAUCUCGCGCUUUGCACUCAUAACGACAGCGUCCAAAAGUACAUUUUACACUCUUGACCUCGGAUCAGGUAGGGAUACCCGCUGAACUUAAGCAUAUCAAUAAGCGGAGGA